AAGCAUCAUGUGUAAGACAGCAAGAGCCUGCAGCAGCUUGAAGCUCCAUCUGGCUAAUGGAGAACACACUCUUGGGGUACGUAUUGGUUCCUAACUCUCGUCUUCCCUGGUCCGACAGCUGGGGUGAGAUGCUUUGCUCAGCCUGCUGAGCCACCAGCAAUCUGGAAGAUUUCUCUCUGACCUGAGAAGGCUGGAUUUCCUACUGAGAGUCUGCAAAGUGACCCAUUGUGAUGGAGCCACAUCCACCAGCAACGAAUGACUGUCCAUUCAUGGCUGAGUCAAAGGUCUGCUGGUAAACCCUUUCCUUCUAAGAAACCCCCAUUAUCAGGAGGACACUCUAUGAGGAUUGGACUUGUGACUCCAGGAGCAGUUUCCCCUCGGGUUCACUUAAGCAAAAGGCUACAAAAAAUACGAACCACGGUACUCCCGUUCAUGCACGGCUUGAUGGUUUUCCUGAAGAUGUGCUAUCCUUCUGUCUCUGCCCUUUUCUCUCCUCUCUUCCCCUUCAAAUGACGAAGACCCAUUCAGUCUGCCUCCAAGCUUUCUCAUUUCAACUGUCCUAUUUAUACCCCUGAGCCAAUUGGAAUGGAAGAAAGGGUGGAGGUUAUUUUUUUCCACCUGUUCCAGGAACAUGUGUUCGAAGAAUGAAUUUUUCCCCUCAUUAAAUCACCAUGGCAAUUUUCCAGGAAUUUCUUAUUUUAAUAUCAACUAAGGAAGUGCAUGGUUUCUAUCUGAAGGUAAUGAAUUCAAUAAGGUUUUCAAAUACUUUUAAUUUUAUUAUUUAAAAUUGCCUAU
rnacentral:lncRNA from 1 species